CAGGUAGGUCGGUAGUGAUGGGUAAUGCACCUUGGCCCCUCCCACUGGCAAUAAUCUAGAUCAGGUGGCACAUGUGGCACGUCUUCAAAGAGGUGCGAACUCAGUAUUAGUGCAAAGACGGUGGAAGUAAACGCCUCCGUAGCAGCUGCGUAAACAGAACCUUCAGCCUGGUGUCUGCACGUAACCCUGGCUUGGUGUCUUUUUAUAUGGUGACCAGUUAAUGGUGCACACAACCACGAGUCUACUGACACGUGAUCGCAUAACAGCGAUUUGUGAGUCACACGGGGUAGCAGCAAGGACAGAAAGCUCACGUCAGGUGAAAGUGCACUGCUUCGCGUCAUCCACGUGAACGCAUUGGUACUGGAGUUGUAGGUCUAGUUCAUCUAGGCUGGCCCAAACACGUAAGUUAUCCUCUUUAGUUAGUCUUUUAUUCCACCUAAUCAUGGCUAUAAUUCCACCUAAUCACGGCUAUACUAACACUAGGAUACUGAUGAGAGGAGGUAGCGCCAACUCUAGUGUCAACUGUGAUUCUUAAUUACAGGAGGAUUGCCGUCGUCUGUUCGACCAGUCACUGUUUUUCCCAGGACCGAAUUUGUCUACUUGUAUCUAUUUUGAAUGUAACCUACGAGUGCUAUAAACAUCUGCCACCCGAUUCGUGGGCUAAUUGGGAGACUAGGGGGAAGGCCGGCUAGUGGUAGCCCUUUAACCCAAAUUGUUUUGUGUUUUGUUUGUUAUUUUGUUUAUUAUAUCUUUCUUGUGUGGCCCAUGGGCAUUUUUACAUCUCUUGUGGGAACAGUAUUUGUUUUCAGUGUCUUAGUGUUUGUUUUCAGUGUUUUAGUGUUUUUUUCAUUUGCUGUUAACUGCAUGGGUUUUAUUUGCACUUGUUGCUAACCAGCAUGUUCAUUGAUUAUUGUACAAUAAAUGUUUAUUGAUUGCAUCAGUCCCAUUUCUGUGCCUUCAUUGGACACACCUGGAUAUAGUUUGAUAGUCUAGUUUAU
ensembl:lncRNA